UGCACCCAUCACCAUGAUAUGUGAAUGCAUCAUGGACAGUGUUUGCUUAGUUGAAACAAUUACAGGGAUGCAUCCGGCAGCCAGGAAGGGACUCCUAUCUCCUUUGAAUUUUAAUGUUGCUGAGAAACAGGGAGAAUGAGAUGGGGGUUUAGACCUACAAUCUAAGAAGAAAAAAAACGCAUCACAAAUUUCUUUGCAUUUUCCUGAGAAUUACUUAAAAAUCUUAACAACAAAACUUCUAAGAGAAGAAUGUGACAUUCUAUAUUUGAAAAUGGAUCAACACACCUUCUUGUGAGCAAUUUGGUGCUCCUUUACUCAUUCUGCAGGCACUGCCUUAUUCUUCACAUGGAUGACUCAUUCUCUUUCAGAACUGACAGGCCUAAAUGGGAUACAAGCAGCAACAAUGCUACGUUUAUCAAAUGUCAUCUUAUAAAGCGGCAAAGCAGCAGUAACAGUCUUACACAGAGGGUAGGUUUACCUACGCAGCAUGAAUAAUUUGGGACUCUGCUUACAGUGAUGUGAACAGUUGAUGUGCACACUAAGUCCACUCUUUCAGGUUUUACUUCUCAUUUUUACUGCUACAGAGAUGGAAAAUAAAUCUGAAUAGAAGAGAAGUUCAGUCACCAGCUUCGCUGCAAUAACAGACCUGAUAGAAUUAAAGUGUGGGGGGGAAAUGCCCUUUGUACCGAGGUUGUGGAGUGCAAGUAUCUCUAUAAUCAGACAGAUUGCCUCUUUUGUGAAGUUAUAAUUCAAUUAAAAGAAAAGGAAUACUAGUGGCACCUUAGAGACUAACCAAUUUAUUUGAGCAUAAGCUUUCGUGAGGUACAGCUCACUUCAUCGGAUGCAUCCGAUGAAGUGAGCUGUAGCUCACGAAAGCUUAUGCUCAAAUAAAUUGGUUAGUCUCUAAGGUGCCACUAGUACUCCUUUUCUUUUUGCAAAUACAGACUAACAUGGCUGCUACUCUGAAACCUGUCAUAAUUCAAUUGCAGCCUUUUCUGUAGAACAAUUUUUGACUUCUCUCUCUUUUUAUGACACUUCAGAAAUGACUAUCCUUAUAAAGCUGGAUUAUUUAGCGAACCAGACAGGAGUUUGGUGUACUCUGUUGCAGUACUUUCUUGAGUCAUUUUCUGCAGUACAGUGUGCCCUUUGAAUUGUGAGGUCUUGUGAGCGGGAUCUAAUUUUUUCAGUGUGUCUACUCAUUUUGAGUUUCUCAAUUUUUGACUUCCCUUGAAGCCAGUUAGUGCUGUGGGUGCUCAGCGUCUCUGAAAAUAGGGUCUUAAAUUAUUCAAGUUAGGCACCCAAAACUUGAGUAACUUCAAAUUAGUGGACACUUUUGAAAAUUUUUGCCUCAAUGACUGUUUUUUUCAGUAGAUUUCCUAUGAUAUCUCAGAUAGCAGAAAAUCAAAUGAAAGUUUUCAUUAUAUUGAUCCAUACGCAUUGAUAAAAUGACAUGAUUUUGCCUCAGCUGUCUUGCCGUUAAAAAGUUAUUUCUGCAUAGUCUGUUGAUAUAGAUGCAUAGCUGAUGCAUAGCCUACUGGCCAAGAGAACAGCUAUUAUUCAGUAUUCUCUGUAUCCUCUCCAGUCAGCAUCCUUAUGAUUCUUUAAUCCACAAAUGGAAACUUUCAGACUCUUAUAGUAUGGUGACUUCUACAUCUUAGUAUAUAAACAAAAUUGGUUUGAUUCUCAGCCUUAACAUUCUUCUGCUAUAAAUCUUGACUAAUCUUUGUACAGUCAAAUAUAGAGAGGUAUAACUUCUGGCUAUUCAGAAGACAGCAGGAUAUGAAAAGCAGUAUAAUUAAUACUCUGCAGGUUUAUUAUUAUGGUUAUGCAUACUGUUCAAUUGUUCCACUGAUGGAUUUUCUUUUAGAGGUUUUCAUAACGCAAUGGUUAUAAAUUAAGGCAAGUCAUAUAAAGGCAGCUGUUUAUCCUCUAUAGCUCUUUAUACAAUGUUAUAGAAGAACUUCACUGUGUAGUAUUUUGCCAAGUGUUAAUUUCAACUUGAAAUACAGUUUUCUUUGCAUUUUCUUAUCACAUCCAAAACUGGCAUUUUAUCCCAGUUUAGAACAGUUUUAAACACAUUUUGUAGAGAAACUGAGUAUUUUAGCACUAGAUGCAUUAUUUUAUUCUGCUACAAAUGAAAAAUGAUAGGCAGUUAGCUGAAUUUAUUUCAUGGAUAUAGGUGUCAUAAAUCUUAUAAGGAAUAAAAGUGGAAUGACACUUCAUGAUAAAAUCUGAAAAAAUCCACCAAUAAAAUUAUCUAUCAACAAAGGUGGAUUUAAAAGUUAAGGGUCCAAUCCUGCUCCUAAUGAAGUCAAUGCAAUUUUUGCUUUAAUGGGAGCAGAAAUGAUCCUCUUGUCCUGUACAUUUAGAAGUGACAACUGAAGUGUAUCAGCUAAUCUCGUCCGUUUUGGGGGCUCAUUUAAACAAAAUAAUUAUACGUGUCUUAAUUAUGAAUUACCUCAGUAUGUGGUUUCUAGUCUGAUAAAUUCAGCUAAUGGGUAGCAAGACAUAGAGCAAGACAUCUUUUCCAUAGACUCCUGAGUCCUAAGACAAAGUGAACAAUAGAUAUAGAAAAAACAUUCUAAGGGGCAUAGGCCCAGAUCCUCAAAGGGAUUUAGGUGUCUAACUCCCAUUGGAUUUCAAGGGAGCUAUGACAGUUUAUACCAGCUCAGGAUGUGGUGCCAAUGUUGUUGAUCCUGGCCUGAGGAAGCUGCUGGCAGGGUGUUUUCUGUGAGGACUCCCUCCCUUUGGAUUUUACUCCUUCUUUGGUUGAAGGUUCAGAAUGUGCUGCAAAGCCCAUCUAUUUAUACAGGCUUGGGGACAGAGCCCAAACAGCUGCGUUGCAACAGCAGAGUCUAGGAGGAGGGGUUGGAGUAUUUUCUUAAGUAUUGGCUUCUUUCAGGAGUUCUUUUUUUGUCAUGUAGCACUAUAUUCUUGUAUUAAUUGAUCUGUGUUUUUUUUAAACCUGUGAGGUGUUGUGAUAGGUGUUAUUAAAUACAUCAGAAGGAAUAAAUAAACUGCAAAGUUUUGUGCAUGUAUCACACCAAAACCAAAAUAAAUACAUAGUUGUACAUGCUCAAAAUUAUAUAGAACAUAAACUGCAUAUGAUAAUGAUGGCGACAGCAGCUGGGUUUUGUUGUGUCAAAAUACUGUGUUGAACAAACUAAAGGAAGAUGAAUUUGUUAUUCAAAGAGCCAGGUGCUCUGAGCUGGCAGCCCCUGAGUGGCUGAGAGGCUCUAUGGCUGAGCAGGUAUAAGUGGGAGCAGCUGUCCUUAAUGGUUACUUCCCACUCUGCUUUUCAUUGUGAUUUUCAGCACCUGCGCAGUGCCAGUGCUCUCCCUGUGUCUCUGCUUAUGCUGUCUAGUGGGCAGACACUCACAAAUGAGGCUGUCUGUGCUGUUUGGCAGGUGAAAAUGAGGGCUGUAAAUAUGAGCACUGGCCCACUAAGAAACAGACUCUCACUAGCAGGCAAGCCAAGACUAGGCAGUUUUUAGAAACAAAGGGCCAAAUGUUGCCCUGAGUUCCACAUGGUCUAUGUUCUUCUUCCCCCAUCUCACUCUUACUCAGCACAAUCUUUUCCUAGGUCUGAUCUUGUCUAGGAAAAAAAUACACUUGCGCUAACAUAUGUGAGAUAUGAAAUAUCCUUUUCUUUUGGAGGCUUUAAUAGAAGUUUUCUUCUUCUCACCAUUUAAGCCCAAAUUUCUUUCCUUCAGGAGAAAUUAAUCAUCCAGCACCUCUGACUGGGCUGUAGACUGCCUGUGUGUGAGUUGCAGCAAUCUAAAGCUAGCACCAAUUCUCCUGGCAGAAUGCAUACAGGCAGAAAUAUAUAUUCCCUGUAAACUGAAUUGGUAGGGAGGUUAUUUUUUCUCAUUCUUUGUUCUUAUUCUAUAAUUGUUAUUCUGUGUUAACAUUUUCUAUUCCCUUUGAACAUCUGUAAUUUUGCCUCUCCCAACCCAUUACCCACACACUGUAACCUUUUAAUUGUGCAAUAAUUACAGUUUCUGUACAGUGACACCUUCUGGCAAAUACUCUUUUCAAUGUGGGUUCUUCAGGGAGGAUAUUCCAUCAAUGGAAACAUGUCCAGUGGGGCACUCUUGGGACUUGCAGUGAGCCAACAUAAUAUGAUAUUGUGAAAUAAUGUUGUAGUUUGGGCCACGAUAUGGCCCAGUCUUUCUUCAGUGGACUUCUUCAAUAUACAUUUCAGCUAUCAGUAUAAGUUUAUGCUUACAGUCUGAAGAAGGAGAGUAGGGGGAAAUUAAACAGUUUUCUAUGCAUAUUUUUGGAAAUGUAAACAGAUUUUGGCAGAAAUUUGUUUAACGUUUCCAUCCCACAUCUCCAACUUGUCCAGCGGAAAAAAAAGCCCAAGAUCUGGCCAAUAUAAGCCUCAUAAAUCUGGUCCCGAAGGAAGUUUUUUAAAUGAAAAACCUCUCGGGAAUGAUCUCAUGAUCCGCAUCCUCCCAUCCUGUCUAGAUUGUGAUUGGUCACCAAUUAGCAGGAUCUAAUUAUUAUUAAUGUAACAGUUGUGCUCAAAGACCACAACAAGAAUUAGAGACCUAUGGUACUGUAAAAAUGAUCUUGUAAGAAAGAGCCCCUUCUUGAUAAAUGUACAGUCUGUGACAAAGCUAUGUCCUUGCCUCCAUGGGUCCCGCGUUUCUUGGCGGAUUUCGCUAGCCUCAGAGGCUCACUGUGACCCUCCACGUAACCCUUCUUUCUCUAGAGACAAGGGUCACAGUCUACUGAGCCAUUUUCAUCAUAAGCCAGCAAGGGAGGUGAGGAGAAAUUAUCCUUCCUUGCACAUCUCUGUUGUCUCCCAGUCUCAGUGAUUAAUCAGGGGGCAAAGGUGAGGGGGGAGCCCGGGCCCACUCUCUACUCCAGGCUCCAGCCCAGGGACCCUAAUAGCAUCAGCUAUGGUAGCUGACCUUUUAGAAACAUUACAUGUACAAUUCCCUGGGCUACUUCCCCCACAGCAGCCCUCACUUCCUCAAGCUCCACUUCACCCUUACCUCAGGGCCUCCUUCCUUGUGCCUGAUAUGGUGUGUACUACUCAGUCUCUCCAACAGCACAACUUCCUUCUACAGCUCCUGACAUGCACACCCACCUGGCUGGGAUGCUUUUAACUAGUUUCAGCCAGCCCCUGAUUGGCUUCAGGUGUCCCAAUCAACCUAGCAUUCUCCCUGCCUUCUGAAAAGUUCUUAAUUGGCCCCAGGUGUCUUAAUCGACCUGGAGCAGCUGCCAUUUCACUUAACCUGGUACCAGGGAUUUGUUUAGCCUGGAGCUAAUAUAUCUAUCUCCCACAACUUUUCUAUAGCCAUCUCGCCUUGCCCCAUCACAAGUCUAAGGCCCCAGUGCCAUAUAAUUAAAUUUAUGAACUUAGUCCCAUUGAAGUCAAAGGAACUACUCAGAGUGCGUAAAGUUAAUCACAUGUGUAAGUCUUUGCAUGAUCAGGGCCUAAUUUAAGACAAGAUACAUCAUGUGAGUGUAACAAACAAUGAAAGAAGAUGUCUGUGGGAGGAAGAAGGAUGAGAGUAACAGCAGUAAAGUCACAUGGAUACACUGAUCCACUGUUGCACAGCUUGAUAGUUCCAAACAUCUGACUGUUGUAAAAAUAAACAAAUGAAAUACUGCGGCAGCACCAAGCUAUCAGCUGUUAAUUUGCCAAUUUCUUAUACAUGUAGCAGCAGAAGUGGGAUUUGAGAUGGGAUUUGAAGGGAGGAAGGGGAAGGGCAUUCCAAGUACACAGUAAAGUGUUCUACAGCAUCCUUCCAGCCUGGGAAGAAGGUGCAUUGCUCAGUAACUGUCACAACUGUUCAAAGCCUCACUACUGUAAACUUAAUUCUACUACUGGGAAACAUAAGAGACCCUUUCUCCCAUUUGAGCAUUUUUUAAAGUUUGAAUUGGGGUAGGGUCUGGUCACUGCUAAGACAAAAAAGCAUUUUUGGAUUGUCAAGAAGUGCUUCUCGGUUAUUAAAAAGUCGAGAGUCAGAGUGUGACCGUGAGGUCUGAAAUAGCCUGAGACAAUUGUACAAAAUACUUGAUGUUGUGCAGAGCCUUUUGUUUCCAGAAUCAUUCUUAUAAAGGUUGCCAUUAGAACCAGUGCUAAUUGCUAUAGAUAACAGACACACGCAGCAUGGGAACAGUUAAUCAAACUUCCUUUACGAUUUUUCUAGUAGGUAUGAUAUUACCUUUUCUAACAAUAUACUCUAUUCUAAGUAUAAUGAUACCUGUUCAAACUGGUAACAUGUUACUUGGUACUGACAACGUACAACAAAACACAAAAGUUAACUGCAUCCAUUGUAUCUCGGUACGUGAGAAUUCCUGUAUUAAUUACACAGAAGUAUAGAUGAUUUAACUACUAGUGAGCCACAACUUCAAAGCAUUGUCUAUACAGCUGCUUUUUAGAGUGCUAGCAUGAGCCCUGCUAACCUGAGUCUUUUGGCCUAGGUUGGGAUGCUUGCUUCUGUGGGCUGCGCAGACAUACCCACAGAAACAGAGGGAGCCAGACCGGAACAGGAAGCGUGAGGCAGGAGAAAGCAAGGUCACACAAGCUGGGAAAGGGACUCCAUGAGAAAGAGACAACUCAGCAUGCAAUAGCCUGCAUGAGGCAGGGGACACUGAUGAUGCCUUAGGACUCCCAAGGGAAGGGUGAUCUAGAAGGUGGCAUUGCAGUUAAGAUAUUUGUUGUUUUAUAUGAUCUGUACUCUCCUGUGCUUUACGUGGUUAAGUUAAAGAGCAUUAAGGUGUUAAACUGUGGGCAAAGUGUCUUAAACACUUCACAACUGCUGCAUGCAAAGGAAGUUAAAUUGUACCCCAGAAGCUUCACACCUUUCGGGUGGAGAUCUGGGAAGGGUAUGUUUUAACUGUGGGGGAGACUGAAGGUCAGCCCUGUGCCCAGUGGGGAUAGGAGCUGGACAGUGGGUUCCAGCUCAGAAGGGAGUGUAAGACUGCAGGCCUGCACUCUGUGCUUAGGGAGCCCAAGAUUGGGGAAGUAACUGGACUUUGUUCAGGCUUAAGAAACUUAAAAGAGCUGGGAAUCCAGGGACACAGAGGCUUGAAUUCCCCUCAGAGCAGUCUGAUGGGUUGCCAGAAGGGAGCGCCCUGCCAGAUCUGUGAUAGAAAAUGACUACCAGCAGCACCUUGAAGUCCCCAGAAAGGAAUCACAAGCUGUUUGACUUUUCCCUACUUUCCCCAAAAAGCCUUGUAAAAUAUUGGGAGAAGAAGACUGAUGCGUAGCGGAAGAGAAGACGUAGGGCUUCCUUCGUCUGGAAAGUAGUGCUGUGCAGUGGAAGGACCUUGGACUAGGAAUAAGAAGGCAUGGGUUCAAUUCUUGAUCUGUAACUGACCUGCGUGACUUUGGACAGGUCACUUCACCUUCCGUGCCUCUGUUUCCCCAGUGAAAAUGAUGAUUAUUUUUCCUUCUUUGUAAAUCACAGAGAUCUAUGGAAGUUAAGUGCUAUAUAGAAGCUAAGAAUUAUCUCCUUCCUCUGGAAUCCAUAUCAGAAUUUUUUCAAAAUUUAAUGAAAAGUUUCAUUUUAAUGUUGAAUGGAUGAAAGUGAAAGUUGGAAUAUGGCAUUCCAUAUUUUUGUUCAAGUUUGCCCACCCCUUAUUGAAAUCACAGAGCAGUGAAUCUGAAAUAUAAUGUUCCAUGCUACUGCUUUUUCUGUUUUUCUUUUUAUAAAGGGAAUGCUUGAGCAAACUUGGGGAAAUGCACUUAUAGUACUAACUCCAAUACUUUUCUCAUACCUAUUAGAUUUAAAAAUAAUAUUCAUUUUCUUUCUGCUUAACAACAAAGAGAUCAAUUCUUUUCAAAGAACAGACAUGUUCAGUCUAUCAGUUUUAUCUAUAAUACUUUAAAAGCAGUUUAUAAUGAGCAUUCUGAUUUGGUUCUUAGUGUCAACCGAAGUGUCCAGAAAAUACCUUCUAUAAUAAAUGAAAACAAUUAAACCGAGUACUAAAAUGUUAUGUGAACCUUUGACUCUGAGAAAAAUGCAGUCAAAAUGACUAAUACAUUGGGCUUUUGUAUUUGCAUUAUAUAACAAAUAAUCUGUGCCAGGAUGAGGGAGUGAUCUGCCCUUGCUAUGUUGUUUUGUUUUGCAAAGUAUAACUUUUAAAGAUUUAUUAGACAGUUUGUUUAAGCCAAUUGUAGGGUUUUUUUUAAAAGAUUUUGCAGCUUGCUUUGUUCUCAAAAGUGUCAGCAGUUAUAAGUAAAAAAUAUAUUCAACUUGAUGUCUGAGUAAUGAAUUUGAAAACUUGAUUGGGUAAUAAGAAGGAAUAAGUGAGCCCAGGUGAGUGCUAUAAAAGCUAGCAAAAGCUAGAAAGCAAGACUGCUUGGAAACUAACAAAAAUAAAACUACCAAGGGAAAUGGGAGAAAAACUAAACAGUAUGCGGUGAUGGGAUAUACCUGAUCUUUAUGGCUCCUUACAGGAGGCCCUGUGGGUCUUACUACACUCCUGUCCCAGGAAAGAAGUAGUGAAGAUGGGUUCUCCAGGCCUGCCUAGAGAGGCUGUAUGGAAGCAGCUAAUCAGAGUCCAGCAGGCUCAGAAAGAAGGAGCUGCAGAGCCUUAGCAGGGUAAAGGAAGUUCUACCAGUGAGGAAGAAGAUGGACACUUGUGAAUUGCAGUGGAGGGGGAGAGGACAAUACCACGUCUAGUAGACAGAUGGCCUGGAGCAAUUUGGCUACCUCCUCCCUACAGAUGAUGCCAGCAAGCAUGAUUAAGGUUACAGAUCUGUCACAGAGGUCACGGAUUCUGUGAUUUUUAGGAGACUGCUGUGACUUCUUGAAUAUUCCAAUAAUUCAGCCCCGGGCAGCGGGGCUUGGACUUCAACAAAUCCAGGAUUUAUUGUUUAUUGCCCACGUCUUGUCCAUGACUUGUAAUAAAAAAUACUCGUGCCAAAAUCGUAGGCUUAAGCAUGAAUCUGCUUCAUGUGUUUUGAAGUGCUCACACACA